rnacentral:lncRNA from 1 species
CUGAUUCCCUUUCCCCUUUUAAUGAAACAGUUAAAAACACAGCCAAAAAGAUAAAACCAAAGCUUCACUAAAGGGGCACCUGGUGCGUUUUCCAAAUUCCUCACUGUCAGCAAUAAAGGAAAAGCCUUCGAGGCACAGAAACUUCAGGCCUAAAAUACCUGCAGAGCACUCCUCUUGCUGGUUAUUUACACCCUGCAGGAAGCACUGUGAAAAUAAAGCUGUGCAUGGGGCUGUCACAGGCAAUUCGGUUCACUGCAGUAAUGUGGCAUCCUGCUGCCUCAGUGCCAAGGAGUACUUUGGGAGCAUGACUGUAUGGGGCAGGAGUACGGCUUCCCCCCAGAGAGAAGAACACAGAAAUCUUUUGUGAACGAGUGAUUUUAAAUGCAAUGAAAGUUCUACCGGAAGGAUGCAAGCCAAGUUUGGGAAUAUCAGCCCCCAGCUUUGCACAGCAAGUAGAACUCCGAAUUGCUUUACAACCUUACAUAAGCCAAACUGGCAAAACUUCUGCCCAGUUAGUGAAACAGAGGAAAUACGGCCUCUUGGGCGCAGUAUUUGCAGAUAUGGGAGCAUCAGAGCAUGCUGCACAGCACUGACCUUCAAGGAACUGGUGCAGGCGAGGAUUGCUGCAGAUUCUGCUAUUUGCAUACCUGGAAGAAAAGGAUAUUUGGGAUGGAUGUGUCAGCGCUUGGGAGAGCACUUUAUAAGUCAGCUUAGCAAAAUAUAGUUCAGUGGUGAACAGCAUCAAGCAGAUGUAAGAUAAAACAAACCAGGACCGUGUGACUCAGUAAGAAUAUCUCCAGUUUCAGGUAUCUGUGUCAGGUGGCCGGCUGAAAGGACUUUGAGUUUCUUUCCAGGAAGCUGCUGAGCCCACUGUUUGUAAUAUGCUUUUGUG